AUUGAACGCUGGCGGCAGGCCUAACACAUGCAAGUCGAGCGGAGCGAGGGUGCUUGCACCUUAGCUUAGCGGCGGACGGGUGAGUAAUGCUUAGGAAUCUGCCUAUUAGUGGGGGACAACAUUCCGCAAGGGAUGCUAAUACCGCAUACGCACUACGGGGGAAAGCAGGGGAUCUUUGGACCUUGCGCUACUAGAUGAGCCUAAGUGGGAUUAGCUAGUUGGUGGGGUAAAGGCCUACCAAGGCGACGAUCUGUAGCGGGUCUGAGAGGAUGAUCCGCCACACUGGGACUGAGACACGGCCCAGACUCCUACGGGAGGCAGCAGUGGGGAAUAUUGGACAAUGGGCGGAAGCCUGAUCCAGCCAUGCCGCGUGUGUGAAGAAGGCCUUUUGGUUGUAAAGCACUUUAAGCGAGGAGGAGGCUCUUAAGGUUAAUACCCUUGAUGAGUGGACGUUACUCGCAGAAUAAGCACCGGCUAACUCUGUGCCAGCAGCCGCCGCCGUAAC
rnacentral:rRNA from 1 species